rnacentral:rRNA from 1 species
GAAUUUUUGACAAUGGGCGAAAGCCUGAUCCAUCAAUGCCGCGUGCAGGAUGAAUGCCUUCGGGUUUUCAACUGCUUUUGUACGCAACGAAAAGCUUUGGGUUAAUACCCUGGAGUCAUGCUGGUACCGCAUGAUUUAGCUCCGCCUCACUACGUGCCAUCAGCCGCGGUAAUACGUAGGGUGCACGCGUUAAUCGGAAUUACUGGGCGUAAAGCGUGCGCAGGCGGUUUUGUAAGACAGAGGUGAAAGCCCCGGGCUCAACCUGGGAACUGCCUUUGUGACUGCAAGGCUAGAGUACGGCAGAGGGGGGUGGAAUUCCGCGUGUAGCAGUGAAAUGCGUAGAUAUGCGGAGGAACACCGAUGGCGAAGGCAACCCCCUGGGCCUGUACUGACGCUCAUGCACGAAAGCGUGGGGAGCAAACA